UGUCUCUCUCUCUCUCCAAGACACCAUUCUUCAUUUUCUGAAAGGAAGAAAACAUUUGGCACCAACAGAAAUAUAAUUCAGGGGUCCAUUUCUGCUUGAUCAAAGGAAAAACUAGGGAGUGCUAACAAGUCUGUCUUUGGGGUAGGACAUAUUGUCAUACUGUCUGGAAGCAGUGAAUCUCCUAUAUCCAUUGAGUCCUUGGAAUCACAAGACGGAGCACGCCUUCGCAAGCAAAUGUCUGCACUGGGAGGUGAAAUACCAUGAGAUCCUCUAGGUAACAAACUUUGUCCAUCUGGUGUCUCUAUAGAUAUACAUGGGGGGCUCAGUUUUUUCUUCUGCCGGGUUCCUUGCAACCCUUCCAUUUCACUGAAGACCUGACUUAUGAAGCCAGAAGAGCUAGAGGUGGAAUGGUGCUGAGGGCUGUUUUGUAUGGAACAAAUUUCUAUGGAAUGUCUCCUUUGAUCAUCUAACCAAGAUAAUGGUUUUUUGAGAAGACCCUGGGUAUCUACACUGUAGUAUUUCUUCAGGUCCUUCAAAGUAACAUUGCUGCUAUUGCCUAUGUUCCUCUUAGGAGUGAGAGGAGGAACCACCGAGCAGGCACUCAAGGUUGUACAAGUUCCUGAAGUGAGAGGCUCUAAAGAGCUGUUUGUUUCAGAUACUUCUUGGUCCAUCGAGUCUGCACCUGUCUCUUGAAAUGAGCCUGUGCAUGCACACAGCGCUGGGGUGUGCUUGGAGACGUUAUACUGAUUGUGGGAAUGCUGGGUGCGAACACUUGACCGGCUCCACCAGGCCGAUUCACUUGCUUCUGAUGGCUCCUCCGUGGCUAUGCCGGGCAUAUCUGUAUCUGAGAGUUCAUUCACCUCGGUAUGGAGAUUCUCCUUGCUUUCCGAGCAAUACGUGUCCAAGGAGUCAUUCCUUAUUGCCACCUGCAGCAGAGUGCCAAGGAACAGGGCAGGAGGAUAGAGGUCAAGAAGAGAGACACACCAAACAAAGGUUACUCACAAGAAAGGCACAACGUUAACAAGGCAAGCUGUCAUGCCUGGGCCAAACUCUGCGCUGAAAAAAACACAAACACAAAUGCAGAGAAAUUCCAGUAACCGCCCCACAACAUGUAUUAUAGUAGCUCUGUGACUCCAUUGGAGUUACUCUGAGUUUAUACUAGCCCAGCAGAAUUUGGACUUUAAUGCUUUAAGAAUCUUAACUCUCAGUAUAUAGGAUUAAAGAACUAAAUUCAAAUACUCACCAAAACUUUUCCCAGUCUUUGGCCUUAUUUUUACUUUUGCCAGUGAGGAAAAGGUUAAUUCAAAGUGUGUGUGUGUGUGUGCGCGCAUGUGCAGGGGCAGAUGACCAUUUU